rnacentral:rRNA from 1 species
UGGGGUUGCGGACAUAUCAUAACGAAGAGGUAUCGUAAUUGAAGAGGUUUGGAAAGACCCACCACAGAAGGUAAUAGUCCUGUAUGUUAAACGAGAAGACUUCAGAUAUGAUCCAGAGUACCACGGGACACGUGAAACCCUGUGGGAAGCAGGAGGGACCACCCUCCAAGGCUAAAUACUACCUAGUGACCGAUAGCGUAUAGUA